GUCUAUGGCCAUGCCACCCUGAACGUGCUUGAUCUCGUCUGAUCAUGAAAGCUAAGCAGGGUUGGGCCUGGUGGUACUUGGAUGGGAGACCACCUUGGAAUAGCAGGUGCUGUAGGUG
rnacentral:rRNA from 1 species